GCUGCUCUUCAUCUCACAGGACCAUCAGAAAACAAUCCUGGACGUGUUUGACCAUGAAGAAAUACUCUGCUUCAGAGAAGGCUCUUCUGAGGCUGCUGCCAGUGUCAAAAGCCUCCAACAAAGCUCUGAUGGAUGUGGCUGUAACCUGUCAGAGAGAAGCUGUGAAGCUCUGUCCUCAGUUCUCAGUUCCCAGUCCUCUACUCUGAGAGAGCUGGACCUGAGUAACAACAACCUGCAGGAUUCAGGGUGAAGCAGCUGUUGGCUGGACGAAGAGUCCACACUGCAGACUGGAAACUCUCAGGUUGAGUGGCUGUGACCUGUCAGAGGGAAGCUGUGAAAGUCUUCGUUCCUAUUCCUCAUCUCCAAGUCCUCUAGUCUGAGACGAGUCGACCUGAGUAACAACAACCUGCAGGUGUUUGACUGCAAGAAAUUACUCUGCUUCAGAGGAGGCCUCUUCUGAGGCUGCUGCCAUGAUCAAAGCCUCCAACAAAGCUCUGCUGAGUGGCUGUAACCUGUCAGAGAGAAGCUGUGAAGCUCUGUCCUCAGUU